UACAGAGGUCUCAAGCGUUGUUCGGAAUUACUGGGCGUAAAGGGCUCGUAGGCGGCCAACUAAGUCAGACGUGAAAUCCCUCGGCUUAACCGGGGAACUGCGUCUGAUACUGGAUGGCUUGAGUUCGGGAGAGGGAUGUGGAAUUCCAGGUGUAGCGGUGAAAUGCGUAGAUAUCUGGAGGAACACCGGUGGCGAAGGCGGGUCUCUGGGCCGAUACUGACGCUGAGGUGCGAAAGCGUGGGGAGCAAACAGG
rnacentral:rRNA from 1 species